AGGAAGGGGAAUGUGAGGAGUGAGGAGAGGGUCAGGACCGCGAGACCGGUCAGGAGGCCGUAGAUCGGCAACCACAGACACAACCCCGGUAUCGAGAUGGUGAAGAGA
rnacentral:misc_RNA from 1 species